rnacentral:rRNA from 1 species
CCUACGGGUGGCAGCAGUGGGGAAUAUUGCACAAUGGGGGAAACCCUGAUGCAGCGACGCCGCGUGAGUGAAGAAGUAUUUCGGUAUGUAAAGCUCUAUCAGCAGGGAAGAAAAUGACGGUACCUGAAUAAGAAGCCCCUGCUAACUACGUGCCAGCAGCCGCGGUAAUACGUAGGGCGCAAGCGUUAGCCGGAUUUACUGGGGGUAAAGGGAGCGGAGACGGCGCGGCAAGUCUGAAGUGAAAGGCACGGGCUUAACCCGUGAACUGCUUUGGAUACUGGCAUGCUAGAGUGCUGGAGAGGGAAGUAGAAUUCCUGGUGUAGCGGUGAAAUGCGUAGAUAUUAGGAGGAAUACCAGUGGCGAAGGCGGCCUCCUGGACAGUAACUGACGUUGAGGCUCGAAAGCGUGGGGAGCAAACAGGAUUAGAUACCCGUGUAGUC